GUGGGGAAUAUUGGACAAUGGGCGAAAGCCUGAUCCAGCCAUGCCGCGUGUGUGAAGAAGGUCUUCGGAUUGUAAAGCACUUUAAGUUGGGAGGAAGGGCAGUAAGUUAAUACCUUGCUGUUUUGACGUUACCGACAGAAUAAGCACCGGCUAACUUCGUGCCAGCAGCCGCGGUAAUACUAAGGGUGCAAGCGUUAAUCGGAAUUACUGGGCGUAAAGCGCGCGUAGGUGGUUCAGCAAGAUGGAGGUGAAAUCCCCGGGCUCAACCUGGGAACUGCCUCCAAAACUACUGGGCUAGAGUACGGUAGAGGGUAGUGGAAUUUCCUGUGUAGCGGUGAAAUGCGUAGAUAUAGGAAGGAACACCAGUGGCGAAGGCGACUACCUGGACUGAUACUGACACUGAGGUGCGAAAGCGUGGGGAGCAAACAGGAUUAGAAACCCGGGUAGUCC
rnacentral:rRNA from 1 species